UACGUAGGGUGCGAGCGUUAAUCGGAAUUACUGGGCGUAAAGCGUGCGCAGGCGGUUUUGUAAGCCAGAUGUGAAAUCCCCGGGCUUAACCUGGGAAUGGCAUUUGGGACUGCAAGGCUCGAGUGCGGCAGAGGAGACUGGAAUUCCUGGUGUAGCAGUGAAAUGCGUAGAUAUCAGGAGGAACACAUGCGGCGAAGGCGGGUUGCUGGGCCGACACUGACGCUGAUGCGCGAAAGCCAGGGGAGCGAACGGG
rnacentral:rRNA from 1 species